rnacentral:rRNA from 1 species
GAUGAACGCUGGCGGCGUGCCUAAUACAUGCAAGUCGAGCGAACGGACGAGAAGCUUGCUUCUCUGAUGUUAGCGGCGGACGGGUGAGUAACACGUGGAUAACCUACCUAUAAGACUGGGAUAACUUCGGGAAACCGGAGCUAAUACCGGAUAAUAUUUUGAACCGCAUGGUUCAAAAGUGAAAGACGGUCUUGCUGUCACUUAUAGAUGGAUCCGCGCUGCAUUAGCUAGUUGGUAAGGUAACGGCUUACCAAGGCAACGAUGCAUAGCCGACCUGAGAGGGUGAUCGGCCACACUGGAACUGAGACACGGUCCAGACUCCUACGGGAGGCAGCAGUAGGGAAUCUUCCGCAAUGGGCGAAAGCCUGACGGAGCAACGCCGCGUGAGUGAUGAAGGUCUUCGGAUCGUAAAACUCUGUUAUUAGGGAAGAACAUAUGUGUAAGUAACUGUGCACAUCUUGACGGUACCUAAUCAGAAAGCCACGGCUAACUACGUGCCAGCAGCCGCGGUAAUACGUAGGUGGCAAGCGUUAUCCGGAAUUAUAGGGCGUAAAGCGCGCGUAGGCGGUUUUUUAAGUCUGAUGUGAAAGCCCACGGCUCAACCGUGGAGGGUCAUUGGAAACUGGAAAACUUGAGUGCAGAAGAGGAAAGUGGAAUUCCAUGUGUAGCGGUGAAAUGCGCAGAGAUAUGGAGGAACACCAGUGGCGAAGGCGACUUUCUGGUCUGUAACUGACGCUGAUGUGCGAAAGCGUGGGGAUCAAACAGGAUUAGAUACCCUGGUAGUCCACGCCGUAAACGAUGAGUGCUAAGUGUUAGGGGGUUUCCGCCCCUUAGUGCUGCAGCUAACGCAUUAAGCACUCCGCCUGGGGAGUACGACCGCAAGGUUGAAACUCAAAGGAAUUGACGGGGACCCGCACAAGCGGUGGAGCAUGUGGUUUAAUUCGAAGCAACGCGAAGAACCUUACCAAAUCUUGACAUCCUUUGACAACUCUAGAGAUAGAGCCUUCCCCUUCGGGGGACAAAGUGACAGGUGGUGCAUGGUUGUCGUCAGCUCGUGUCGUGAGAUAUUGGGUUAAGUCCCGCAACGAGCGCAACCCUUAAGCUUAGUUGCCAUCAUUAAGUUGGGCACUCUAAGUUGACUGCCGGUGACAAACCGGAGGAAGGUGGGGAUGACGUCAAAUCAUCAUGCCCCUUAUGAUUUGGGCUACACACGUGCUACAAUGGACAAUACAAAGGGCAGCGAAACCGCGAGGUCAAGCAAAUCCCAUAAAGUUGUUCUCAGUUCGGAUUGUAGUCUGCAACUCGACUACAUGAAGCUGGAAUCGCUAGUAAUCGUAGAUCAGCAUGCUACGGUGAAUACGUUCCCGGGUCU